rnacentral:rRNA from 1 species
UACAGGGGGGGCAAGCGUUGUUCGGAAUUACUGGGCGUAAAGGGCCAGUAGGCGGCCAACUAAGUCCGACGUGAAAUCCCCAGGCUUAACCUGGGAACUGCGUCGGAUACUGGAUGGCUUGAAUUCGGGAGAGGGAUGCAGAAUUCCAGGUGUAGCGGUGAAAUGCGUAGAUAUCGGGAGGAACACCAGUGGCGAAGGCGGCCGGGCUGGGGGUGACCUGACGCUGGAGGCGGCGAAAAGCGUGGGGAGCGAACCGGA